CGUCAAUCCAAGGCUCUCCAUGGACCUCUGAGUCUGCAAAUGGCAGGGCAACCUUCUCCUGACCUUACACAGUUCAUCUUACCGUCAUCACCCCGAACAUCUCUAAAGUAUCUCUGUUGACCUUAUCUGUUUGACUGCCUUCAAGAAGUAAGUUUAUAAUCACCUCUCAAGUCUUCCCAGCUAAAACACGAACAAGUUUCUGACACAUGUUCCUGCUGCUGGAGUCUUUCCACCAUGUCUUCCUCACCAUGAUGGACCAAAACCCCCUGAAACAAUGAGUCAAAAUAAACUUUUUAUCCAUUGCAUUCCUUUGUUGGGUGUUCCAUGACGGCAGUGAAAAGACUGCUAACAGAAUCUUAUCUUCAUGUCUUCCAAAAACCUAGUAUGUGUAUGCAUACAGUGCUCGGUGAUAUCUGCUGAGUAAAUGCUGUAUCAUUUGAGCCCAUCUGUGUUGGACUAGUAGUUUUUUAUUCUUUACAGUACUAUGUUCAGGAUAGGGAGGAGACGUUCCUUCACUAUGGAUAUUGGUUGAAUUUUG